UUAGGAUUUAGGAUUUGGUUAGGAUUUGGCUUAGGAUUUAAGAUUUGAUUAGGAUUUAAUUUAGGAUUAGAUUUUGGUUAGGAUUUGGUUAGGAUUUGAUUUAGGAUUUAGGAUUUAGUUAGGAUUUGGUUUAGGGUUGAAGAUUUGAUUAGGAUUUGAUUUAGGGUUGAGGAUUUGAUUAAGAUUUGGUUUAGAAUUUAGGAUUUGAUUACGAUUUGAUUUAAGAUUAAGGAUUUGGUUAGGGUUAGGUUUUGAGUUUACGAUUUGAUUAAGGUUUGAUUUAGAAUUUAGGAUUUUAUUAGGAUUUAGUUAAGAUUUGAUUUAGAAUUAAGAUUUGAUUAAGGUUUGGUUAGAGUUUGAUUUAAGGUUUAGGAUUUGGUUAGGAUUUGGUUAAGGUUUGAUUUAAGAUUUAGGAUUUGGUUAGGAUUUGGUUUAGGAUUGAGGGUUUAGUUAGGAUUUGGUUUAGGAUUUAGGAUUUGAUUAGGAUUUGAUUUAGGUUUUAGGAUUUGGUUAGAGUUUGAUUUAGGAUUUAGGAUUUGGUUUAGGAUCUAGGAUUUGGUUAGGAUUUUUUUAGAAUUAGGAUUAGAUUUUAUUUAGGAUUUUUGUAGGAUUUAAGAUUUAAUUAGUUUUUGGCCUAAAGUUUGAUUGAAGUUUAAUAGGAUUUUAAGUAGAAUUAGAUUAAGAUUGAAUUGAAAUUUAUUUGAGAUAUAUUAGUGAUCAUUUUAAUAUUUCUUUAAGAUUUCUUAUUUUUUCUUUGUAAUUACUUUAAGGUUUCUUUGAAUUUGAUUAAAGCUUGUUUAGCAUUGUUAUGGUCUAAUUAGAGUUUAGUUAGUAUUCUAUUAGAGUUAGCAUUUUGUUGUUGCAAUUUCUAUUCUACCUUUCACAACCACGUGCCUGGAG
rnacentral:lncRNA from 1 species